GUGUUGAGUGCAAACAUCCUAAAAUAUUUCCUAGUCACUUGCAAAGUGAACUUCGCUCUCAGUGGCAAAGAUCAUUUAGUCCAUUGCAUGGAGGGGUCAUCCACGCAGGAUCCUGCACGGUUAUCCGACACCAAAGAGCGUUCAGAGCCCAUAUGGACGUUCUCCACAACCAGCACUUCUCCUAGAUCAUCUAACAAUCCAAGCAUGCCUUCAGCCCUGAUGUGCUCCCAACAUGAAUGCUGAGAACAUGGAAAGCUAGAACAUCUGACAACCAUCUUUCUGGCUGCUACCUUCGCUACUGACAUAACUCCAUCUGCUUAGCCACAGCCUACAGUGCCUUUGGAUGGGUCACAGAAACCCCACUGUUGAGGAAACAGCCCCAUCUUACUCAUUUCUACUUGUUGCCACUCUGCCUUUGCAGUGCACACCUCUACCUUAAGAGGAAGUCACUCGUGCUCUGUAACUGCAAUGGGCAGAGUUUCUUACAUCUACUUGUUCUGGGGCAACAACACAAGUGUUUCUCACUGAGAUUUCACUCUGCUCGGAAAUAAUGUCAGCCAGCUGCAAGAAGUGGGAGCUAGAGCAACCAGAGACUGUGCUGGGAGUCUGGAAGGAGGAACCCAAGGCCAGCUCAGUGCUUUAAAGGAAGAAGAAUACAUCAGAGGCAUCCAAGACAGCUGGAGAUGACCUGCUUCAAGGCAGGAGCUGGAAUGCCAUCCUUCCCAUGGGAACACAGAAGACACGAGCAGUGGCAUCACUCAGCCUGUCUAGAGGCCAGAUUGCUUCUUUAAGUUUUCUGCCCCCAUAAACCAAGUUGAGUGAAUGUUGCCCAAGCACCCCAGUACUGUUUUGAUGCGCAAUACUGAAAACCAAAAAAAACGUAAAGCCAUGACAGUUGCUUCUUACAAGUCAUCCUCCUGAUGUUCUCCAAGCACUUCUCCCCAACAGAAACUUACCAUUCAGCCCAAGUAAGAUUAAAUAAGUUUGAAACCCUAAAUAAAAUUAAAUAAGUUUGAAACCCUCAGGCCUCUGAUCCUUCUCAGCCCUGGCUGCGCUGUGUAUCAAUAGAUGCUGGCAUUUGAACUCCCUUUUCUUCAGAGUCUCAUUGGCAGGGAAGAGAGGUCCUCAUGCCUGAGGGUCCAUAGUGGCAUUCUGAAUUUGAUAUUUUCAAAGUUAUUCUCAUGUGAACACACUGCUGGAGGAGGAGGAGAGACAGAAUCAAUUGUACAGAUCAAUACCUGUACUGAUGUGUUUCCUGGUGACAGGCCAGAUGGCCAAUUGACGGUAAACAAAGUCUGAGCAAAGUCUGGACACAGCAAGAGGUUCCAGAUGGGAACCAGAAGUUUAGAGCUCAUCAGAGCCAUCUCCACGCAUGCAUUGCAGGCACCAAACACUAAUAAAUGAUUGACAGAGCUGUUGUGCAUUAGCCUCAAGCUUUCGGAUCUCUCCCACUG